GACCACUCUGGUGGCCUAGUGGUUAGAGCGUCUGCUCCAGAUGCAAGAGGUUGUGGGUUCAAACCCUGGCCAAGUUA